rnacentral:rRNA from 1 species
UACGGGAGGCAGCAGUGGGGAAUAUUGCACAAUGGGCGAAAGCCUGAUGCAGCAACGCCGCGUGAGGGAUGACGGCCUUCGGGUUGUAAACCUCUUUUAGUAGGGAAGAAGCGAAAGUGACGGUACCUACAGAAAAAGCACCGGCUAACUACGUGCCAGCAGCCGCGGUAAUACGUAGGGUGCAAGCGUUGUCCGGAAUUAUUGGGCGUAAAGAGCUCGUAGGCGGUUUGUCGCGUCUGCUGUGAAAACCCGAGGCUCAACCUCGGGCCUGCAGUGGGUACGGGCAGACUAGAGUGCGGUAGGGGAGAAUGGAAUUCCUGGUGUAGCGGUGGAAUGCGCAGAUAUCAGGAGGAACACCAAUGGCGAAGGCAGUUCUCUGGGCCGUUACUGACGCUGAGGAGCGAAAGCGUGGGGAGCAAACAGGAUUAGAUACCCUGGUAGUCCACGCCGUAAACGUUGGGCGCUAGUUGUGGGGACCAUUCCACGGUUUUCCGUGACGUAGCUAACGCAUAAAGCGCCCCGCCUGGA